GUCAGCAGAGAGUAGUGAAUGUAAUAGUUGAAAGUAGAUUUCGGUAGAAUAAUAGUCCAGAAAUAUCUUAUCCUUACUGGUCCCUUACCUUCCCUUUAUAUAGGCAAUUUAUGUGUAACUGUCUGUAAUGAUUUGGCACGUGGGGUCUCGUUUAUCUCGAUAUUAUGUGAUCGUGAAAUGGACAGUUAAUGCUCACUAAUAAUCAUGGUCAGUAGCUGUUACACACUCUUUACGCUGGCGGUUUCUAAUAUACCGACUGUAUGUCGG
rnacentral:lncRNA from 1 species